AUACAGUAUUCGGUUGCAAGCAAUUUGAAUAUACUUAACUGUGGUCAUUGUGCUUAUUGUUAGAUGCUGCUGGUGAUGGCGAAGAAGAGAGUAACGAGACACAGGAGCUUUCUAAGAGGACAAAGAGAAUGUCGAUAGAAAUCGAACCAAGUGACUUGGCAU